rnacentral:rRNA from 1 species
GGAUGAACGCUGGCGGCGUGCUUAACACAUGCAAGUCGAACGAAGCACUUAAUGAGAUUCUUCGGAUUGAUUAUUUUGUGACUGAGUGGCGGACGGGUGAGUAACGCCGUGGGGUAACCCUGGCCCCAGACCGGGGGAUAACAGUCGGAAACGACUGCUAAUACCGCAUAAGCGCACAGUGCCGCAUGGCACGGUGUGAAAAACUCCGGUGGUCUGGGAUGGACCCGCGUCCGAUUAGUUAGUUGGCGGGGUAACGGCCCACCAAGACCGCGAUCGGUAGCCGACCUGAGAGGGUGACCGGCCACAUUGGGACUGAGACACGGCCCAGACUCCUACGGGAGGCAGCAGUGGGGAAUAUUGCACAAUGGAGGAAACUCUGAUGCAGCGACGCCGCGUGAGCGAAGAAGUAUUUCGGUAUGUAAAGCUCUGUCAGCAGGGAAGAUAAUGACGGUACCUGACCAAGAAGCCCCGGCUAACUACGUG